GUGAUCAGUGUGGCAGAGCUUUUACUCAAAGAAGCAAGUUACAGAGGCAUCUAGUUACCCACUCUGGAAUUAAGGCAUACAGCUGUGAUGAGUGUGGGAAGGAGUUUACUGGGAAGGCUUCACUAAAACAUCAUCAGGUCAUCCACACUGGAGAGAGACCGUUCAGCUGUGACUUGUGUGGAAAGUCUUUUUCCAGGAAGGAUUCCCUAAAAGAGCACCAACUCAUCCACAGUGGAGUUAAAGCGUACAGCUGUGAUCAGUGUGGCAGAGCUUUUACUCACAGUAGCCACUUACAGAGGCAUCUAGUUACCCACUCUGGAAUUAAGGCAUACAGCUGUGACAUUUGUGGAAAAACCUUCAGCCAGAGAGGGGACCGAAAUACACACCUACGCAUUCACACCAGACAUGAUGUGUACUGCUGUGAACAGUGUGGCAAACAGUUUAUAACUCACACAGAGUUACAACAACACAUGUUUACCCACACUGAGGAACGACCUUAUAAAUGUGACCUGUGUGAGAAGACUUUUAAAUCUCCACGUCACCUGAGACAACACCAACAGAUCCACACCAGAAAGAGACUCUACAAGUGCAGUUACUGUGAGAAGCAGAGCGACACAGAUGGAUCCAGUUCUCAACCCUGUCAUCACUGUGGAGGUGGGAAAGACUUUCGUUGUGACCUCUGUGGAAAAACUUUCAGUUGGCAAAAGACCCUAAAAAGACAUCAACGUAGACACACUGGAGACAAACUGAAAUACUGCAAAGAAUGUGGGAGAAGCUUCACCACAUCAAGUUACUUAAAA